rnacentral:tRNA from 1 species
AUCUAUAUAAUUCAUAAUUAGAAUAUUGCAUUGAAGCUGCGAAAGAGGUUUUAUAAUCUGUAGGUA